UGCAGCACCUCCAGAGUCACCAUGGGCCUCGUGGUUGAUUCUCUGAUUUAUUUUCUCCCUCUCUGGCUUGUCACUUUGACUGGAUGGCCAUCUCUUGCUGGUCUAGUUGAGAUCUUCAAGCAAUUCCUGCCACCUGCUGCUGAUCUUCUUGAUUGCCUCUCCUCGCCUCCAGUAUUUAAGCCCGGUCUGAACUUCCAGUCUUCGGCAGUUCGUCAGUUACUCUUGUGGUAAUUCCCGGCUGCUGUUCUUUCGAAUAGUAUUUUGGUUGCUUAACUAUUAGUACUGGUAUUGCUGUCCAGGAUUUAACUCCCAGCAGUCUGCUUCUUCCCCAGUUUUACUCUGUGUCCUGCUUCUCCGCCUUGACCAGCUCUUCUUCCGGCCUCGCCAGUUCCCAUCCGGAGCUCCAGCCUCCCCAGUAUCAACCUUUAUCAACCUGUGUGUUAAAAUAAACUUCAGUACUGAAGUUCAGUCUGCC
ensembl:lncRNA